CCUACGGGAGGCAGCAGUAAGGAAUAUUGGGCAAUGGUCGGAAGACUGACCCAGCCAUGCCGCGUGCAGGAAGAAGGCCCUAUGGGUUGUAAACUGCUUUAGCCAGGGGCUAAACCUACCGAUGCGUUGGUAGCUGAAGGUACCUGGAGAAUAAGCAUCGGCUAACCCCGUGCCAGCAGCCGCGGUAAUACGGAGGAUGCGAGCGUUAUCCGGAUUUACUGGGUUUAAAGGGUGCGCAGGGGGUUGCUUAAGUCAGAGGUAAAAGCCCUAGGCGCAACAAAGGGAUGGCCUUUGAUACUGAAAAGCUAGAGUGAAGAUGGAGUGGGUGGAAUGUGUUGUGUAGCGGUGAAAUGCAUAGAUAUAACACAGAACACCGAUCGCGAGGGCAGCUCACUAAUCUUCAACUGACGCUCAGGCACGAAAGCGUGGGGAUCAAACAGGAUUAGAUACCCUUGUAGU
rnacentral:rRNA from 1 species